rnacentral:rRNA from 1 species
GAUGAACGCUGGCGGCGUGCCUAAUACAUGCAAGUAGAACGCUGAAGGAAGGAGCUUGCUCUUUCCGGAUGAGUUGCGAACGGGUGAGUAACGCGUAGGUAACCUGCCUGGUAGCGGGGGAUAACUAUUGGAAACGAUAGCUAAUACUGCAUAACAGUAGAUGUUGCAUGAUAUCUACUUAAAAGGUGCAAUUGCACCACUACCAGAUGGACCUGCGUUGUAUUAGCUAGUUGGUGAGGUAACGGCUCACCAAGGCGACGAUACAUAGCCGACCUGAGAGGGUGAUCGGCCACACUGGGACUGAGACACGGCCCAGACUCCUACGGGAGGCAGCAGUAGGGAAUCUUCGGCAAUGGACGGAAGUCUGACCGAGCAACGCCGCGUGAGUGAAGAAGGUUUUCGGAUCGUAAAGCUCUGUUGUAAGAGAAGAACGAGUGUGAGAGUGGAAAGUUCACACUGUGACGGUAUCUUACCAGAAAGGGACGGCUAACUACGUG